GUUUGGCUGGGGCGGUACGCCCUCGAAACGAUAACAAGGGCGCCCAAAGUUCUGCUUAGGCGGGUCAGAAAUCCGCCGUUAAGGGUCAAAGACAAAUGCAGGAUUGACUGUAUUCCUAAACGCAUGGGAUGCAGAGGCGAAAGCCGGGCUUAGCGAACCUUAGAGUCCCCGCUAGUGGGGGCCUAAGCUGUCAGACAAGCUACCCCGGGGGUAACAGGCUCGUCGCGGGCGAGAGAUGGUAAAUCUCCGCCUUUUUAGAUUGUGCCUAUCCCAAUAAUUGGACUGAAGAUAACUCCUAAAAAAUAUCUCUGUCCUACUGGAUAAAUACGAACGAAAUCGUCGAUGGCGUUUCGCAAUCUAGCUAAUAUAUCAUAACCAGGCGAUGGGACAUUUAUGGAGAUUCUCCACUCAAAUACCCAUCGACCCCGCGGUUUGGUACAUCGCUGUCGGCUCAGGUCAUCCUGGCGGUGCAGGAGCCGCCAAGGGUUGGGUUGUUCAUCCAUUAAAGACCUACGUGAGCUGGGUUCAGAACGUCGACUUAGGCGUUGCAUAGCCGUAAGGCUAUGAAAAAUUAAAUUGGCUCAUAUCGGUGAACCCUUGACCUCUUAGAACUGGGAGGUUGUGGGAAUACCGAGGGAAGGUGAGAUUUAUGGGCUCAACGACACUUGCAUAUAUCGCCGGAUUCCUGGAUGGUGAUGGAAGUAUCUUUUUCCAAAUAAUCAAAAGAAAGGAUUAUCUACGAAAGUUUCAGAUAAGAUGCAGCAUAGCAUUUUAUCAAAAAACUAGAUACGCAGAAAUUCUACAAUGGCUGAAAGAUUAUUUUGGAGCAGGAUACAUCCGCCACAGAAAAACAGGAAUCAGCGAUUAUACUGUUGUUGAACCACAUGAAGUUGGGAGAAUACUCUCACUUUUACUGCCGUAUGUCAGAUUAAAGAAGAAACACGCAAUACUUGGAUUGCAAAUUUUGCAAAAACUUGAAUCGGCAAAAUCUAAAGAAGAUUUCUUGAAGAUUUGCAAGCUGGUGGACAAGUUUGGCAAAAUCAAUUAUUCCAAGAAAAGAACAAUGACAUACAAAGUAGUAAAGGAUUACUUCAAAAAUAAAUCUCUACCCCCGUAGAGACUGAGGCAAAUAAUUAGUCGCCGAGAGUCUUGCAAAUAUUGCAAGGCUAACACGCCGAUCUCCUAUCCUGCAAGGAUAGGAUGGUGGUAUAGUCCAUGCUAUUUCGAAAGAAGUAGGUUUACAUGCGCGAGACAGUUCGGUAGUAUCUACUGGGAGUGUAACUGCCUGAGAGCAAGAAUCCACGAGUACGAGAGGAACAUGGAUUCGGCGCCUCUAGUGUACCAGUUGUUUAAAGCAAUGCUGGGAAGCCACGCGCUAUAUGGAUAAGACCUGAAAGCAUCUAAGGUCGAAGCCAUUCUCAAAACGAGGCAGGUAGAUCGGCCAUAGAACAUGGCUUUGAUAGAACAGGGGUGUAAGUGC
rnacentral:rRNA from 1 species